rfam:Picea glauca, whole genome shotgun sequence.
UGUUAGUGAAAUCUGGAGAUGUCAUCUAGGACCUGGGAAGAGUUAUCUUUUAUUUUUAACGACUUUCCCACCCUGAAAUAGGUUCAAUCGAAGAUAGGGUCCAACAUCUGGAAGAGCACCACACGUCUUGCGAUGUUUGGUGCCCCCUCGACGGCCAUUGAAAAUAUGGAGAAUCAAGUACCAUCCAUGCCCGAUCAUACUCAUAUUUGCCUCCUU